rnacentral:misc_RNA from 1 species
ACAAACUUGGUCAUUUAGAGGAAGUAAAAGUCGUAACAAGGUUUUCGUAGGUGAACCUGCGAAAGGAUCAUUAACGAGUUAGGGUCCUCUAGGGCCCGACCUCCCAACCCUUUGUUUAUUGAACCACUGUUGCUUCGGCGGGCCCGUCUCACGACCGCCGGAGGAGCGCUGAAAGGCGUAUCCUCUAGCCCGCGUCCGCCGAUAGCCAACUACAAAACUCUGUAUAAAUCGUGUCUUAUGUCUAAGUCAAUGAUUCAAUUAAAGCAAAACUUUCAACAACGGAUCUCUUGGUUCUGGCAUCGAUGAAGAACGCAGC